GUGGGGAAUAUUGGACAAUGGGCGCAAGCCUGAUCCAGCCAUGCCGCGUGAGUGAUGAAGGCCCUAGGGUUGUAAAGCUCUUUCACCGAUGAAGAUAAUGACGGUAGUCGGAGAAGAAGCCCCGGCUAACUUCGUGCCAGCAGCCGCGGUAAUACGAAGGGGGCUAGCGUUGUUCGGAAUUACUGGGCGUAAAGCGCACGUAGGCGGAUAUUUAAGUCAGGGGUGAAAUCCCAGAGCUCAACUCUGGAACUGCCUUUGAUACUGGGUAUCUCGAGUAUGGAAGAGGUGAGUGGAAUUCCGAGUGUAGAGGUGAAAUUCGUAGAUAUUCGGAGGAACACCAGUGGCGAAGGCGGCUCACUGGUCCAUUACUGACGCUGAGGUGCGAAAGCGUGGGGAGCAAACAGGAUUAGAUACCCCUGUAGUCC
rnacentral:rRNA from 1 species